rnacentral:rRNA from 1 species
UCCACGCCCUAAACGAUGAACACUAGUCGUCGGGAUGCUAGUCAUCUCGGUGAUGCACUUAACAGAUUAAGUGUUCCGCCUGGGGAGUACGGUCGCAAGAUUAAAACUCAAAGGAAUAGACGGGGACCCGCACAAGUGGUGGAGCAUGUGGUUUAAUUCGAAGAUACGCGAAGAACCUUACCUAGCCUUGACAUAUAUUAGAACUCACCAGAGAUGGAGAGGUGCCUUCGGGG